CGGGGACAAGCCCUGAAACAGAUCCUUCCUCCCUCACUCCCCACAGAAGGAACACACCUUGCGGACACCUUGAUCUUGGACUUCCAGCUUCGAGAAUUAGGAGGCAAUAAACUUCUGUUGUGUAAACAACACACUUUGUGGUACUUUGUUAUGGCAACCUUAGCAAACUGAAACAUAUAUAUCAUUUUCCUGGGCGCUCACCCCACUCCACCUCCCACCUCUACAUAGGUUGGGAUUAGUUUGUUUCUUUUUGCUCUUAUAAACCAUCAGUAAAUAUUUGUUGAAUGAACAAUUGUCCCUCAGACCACGUUUCUAUUCUUUUCUCCCAUUUCUCCCCACGACAAAGUCAUUUCAACUCUUACCCUAAAUAUCGUGGACUUUGACACCUCCUUAACUUUGCUGAUGUUUUCUCUGCCUGGAAUGCCCGCUUGCCCUUCUCUCCCUGUCAAUGUCUCCUUAUCAUUUAAGACACAUCCGUGUCAUUCCUUCAGUGACACUACCUUCCAUCCCCUUCUCUGUUCUGUUAUCCACUGUGGUUGUAGCUCUUUGCCGGUAAACAGUGGCCUCCUUGAGUUCUAGGAUCAUAUUCUAUUAAUCUUUGUAGCCCCAGAACCUGGCCCAGUGUCUGGCACACCAGAGGUGUUCAGUAAAUGUUUGCUAGAUUGAAUUAAAUCUGUAUCCUGCAGAUUUCACUCUUGCUGCCCUUCCCUAGACUGCUAGCCACAGCAGGGUACAAGAGGAUUAGAAGGGACUUUGCGGAGCAGAACUCAGAUUAGAGCAUUCGAGCGCUACGGGGCUGCUCCUCUCUGCAGAGUCUUUGUCUUCAUGCAAUCUCGUGAGAGUUUCCUAAAUUGGAACAGUCAGUGAUGUUGUAUCCAAAUCAUUCAGCUAAGCCCUCAGAGGCGUUUGCCAGAAAUCACACCAACAUAAAAGAGAUCAAUCAGAGGAGGGGUGCAAAUCCUCAUCCUUUUUAUAAAGUGGAGCAAGUAUCCUGUUGGAAAAAACGAAAAAGACAAUCAUUUGAGACAGCACUUUCCAGGCUACUGGACAAGAAUAUGCUGGCUAUGACUACAGGUCUAUACCUAAGCCUAGAGGAGAAAUUCACAGACAGGACAUCUCUAGUUCUUGAUGAAGGUUUUCUGGCCUGACUUCACCACUGCAUCUGACCACAGAAUCAUUACUUGCCACCCUGAGAGCUAGAGCCAUGAGCUAAUCUCAGAAAAAGGCAACCACAAGGUACCUUUUUUUUUUUUUUUCCUUUUUUGAGACGGGGUCUGUUUCUGUCGCCCAGGCUGGAGUGCAGUGGCACCAUCACCGCUCACUGCAGCCUCGACCCCCUUGGCUCAAGGGAUCCUCUCAUCUCUCAGCCUCCUGAGUAGCUGGAACUAUAGGCAUGCACCAUCACACCUGGCUAAUUUUUGUGUAUUUUGUAGAGAUCAGAUUUCACCAUAUUGUCCAAGUUGCUCUCAAACUCCUGGGCGUAAGUGAUGCACCUGGUUUCCCCAAGUGUUAGGAUUACAGGCGUAAGCCGCAGCACUCAGCCCUAAAUUUUAUUCCAGUUAAAUUGGGGGUUUAGAGUGUCAGAUUAGUGUAAUCUGUAAUCCACUUCCAUGUGGCCAUCAGCUGCUAAAUCUUAAAUCUGGUCAUCGGACAAGUUUUUGAUAUCCCUAAAUCCGUUUUUUCUUGUGUAAAAUGGGGAUAAUAUUGGCAGGAAUUUUGUAAUUAGAGUAAUGUUAAGAUCUUAGCACAGAGCCUGAAACACAGAAGAAGCCCAAUAAAUGGUAACUAACAUCACGAGUUGAAUAAUUUGUUCUAGAGUCAUAACAUCUCAGGCUAGAAGGGACCUUCAUGGUCUCCCAGUCCAACCGCACAGCCAAGCAGUCGUGUCUGUGCAGGAUACCUUCCAAGAUACUCAACAUUUGACAUAAAACAGAAUCUUCCAUUGGGAUUAUUGCCAAUAGAGGUGAGGAGGAGGGAAAGUGGUGUGAAGGCAUAUUUGCCAAAAUGGGCUGUAGGAAAAUAUAACCUGACUUUUCUUGCACGGUUGGAUUUCUGAGCACAGAAGUUAUCCUACUGGAAUGAAAUGUAAACUCCAAUCUGAGGUGUUACUUUGUGAAAGGCACUUUGAAAACAAACUCCCUCUCAAAUCUCUUAUAAACCACAGCUAUUAAAAUCCAGAGGUACCCAGUUAGGUAGUAGAGAUUUCUUUCCAACACAACUAAUAAAUGAGAGCCUGCUCUGAAAACCUCGGCAUGCAUCACUGAAGCCUGGGAGUUGCACAGUGACACUCAGCUGGUGCCUGGCACUGGCAGAGACUAUCACUGAAGCAUUGAAGGUUAUGCCAGGAAUCACAACAUUGCCACCUGCGUUCUGGCUGGGAAUCACAAGCCUGCCAGGAAAAGUGGAUGCAAGCCCUCCAAGUCCUUCCUCAGCGCCGGGGGCUGGAGGGCACUGUUAGGGGUCGGCUCCACCCCCUACCUGCCAUUCGACCUUGUUCCUGAGUCAUUGUCCUCGGAGCCGCAGUGUGUUCACUCACCAAGUGGUGACAAUUGGGAACACCUGCCUUCCCUGCCUGAUUAUUAAGGGCUUUAAUGAAUUUCAUAAAGUGCUUUUAUAUCCUUGACAGAACAUUUCUAUCCCAGUGCAGGGGAAAAACCAUCAUCAUUAUUGACCUUCGAGUCAAAGACAGAUAUUUUUCAGGCUUCUUUACUGAUCAAAUGGUAGUAUCAAAUGUAUAUUUGUUUUUCAUCACAGACACAAACACGAAAUUUUAAAGUUCACAAUUUUGAAAUAUGAAUUUGUUGCAUUAUUCAAUGUUGCCAGUUACAGUCGCGUGGCUCUAUGAUUCUAAGUGCAGAUGGCCAGAGCUGGCCUCAGGUUCUCAGUUCAUUAAACAGUCCUUCCUUUGACCAACAGGCCUCUCAUUGUAA
ensembl:lncRNA